rnacentral:lncRNA from 1 species
AAUUUUCCUUUUACAACACAAUGUCAUUAAAACGUUAAGCUGAUUUUACAGAGUUAUCUCCCUGUAGUGUUAGGUACCACCUUAAGGUAUUUGAUUUACAUGAAAUAUUUGCCACUGGAAGUUUAACAGAAAACAAUCUACAAUCUAUCAAUUUAUUGUUAAGGGGUUGAAGUUUACUUCUGGGCGAGCUUGUUUCUAAAAACAAGACAUAAAGUAUUAAAGUAAAUAUGAGGUUCCCUUCAUGUUAUUCAAAUUUGUUGUUCAAAAUAUAGUUCCAGUAUCAGCAGAUGGUCCUCUUAAAAUUGUAUUGGUGAUUUUUUUUUUUUUUUAUGGGAUUCAAAAUUAGACCCAUACAUGUAUUUCAAGGUCACCCUCAUUACCAAAAUAUUUCAAAAUACAGAGGUAUUACUACAAUUGGACAAGGAAAGGGUGACCUGACAUUGACCUUUAAAAAGCAGGUUUGCAUAGGUUUUAAAUGUAUGGGUAUAAAUUGUGAACUUUUAGUUGAUUUUUUCAUUUUCUUUGUAUAGGGCAAUGUUGGUUUAAGAUAUAUUGGCAUGGAAAAUUGGGUAAUCAUGGUUUUUUAAUUGGGUGAUGUUAAUAUUACUGCAUACUUGUAAAUGGUGUUUAUAAUUGUAUUAUUAGGCUUAA